AUGACAUCACUUCCUAAAUCCUUCCCAUUUUCUAUUUCCAUGGCCCAUUUCCCCAACACCUACACUGGAAGUAUCACCAUCCUGCCUCUCCCUGUCAUAGGUUCCAUGCUUCUCUGCUGUGUAGUCUUUUGUAUCCUGGGAGUAGGAACCAUGGAUGCUGGUGUUACCCAGACCCCAAGGAAUAGGAUUACAAAGACAGGAGGGAACAUUACACUGGAAUGUUCUCAGACUAUGGGUCAUAUCCAAAUGUACUGGUAUCGACAAGACCCAGGACUGGGGCUACAGUUGAUCUACUACUCCCUUGGUGUCAAUGAUGUUAACAAAGGAGAGGUCUCCGAUGGGUACAAUGUCUUUCGAAAGGAGCAGGCUAAAUUCUCCCUUUCCCUAGAGACAGCCAGCACCAACCAGUCAGCUCUUUACUUAUGUGCCAGCAGUUAAUUGC